rnacentral:rRNA from 1 species
UACGUAGGAUGCAAGCGUUGUCCGGAAUUACUGGGCGUAAAGGGCGCGCAGGCGGUGUGCCAAGUCAGAUGUGAAAUACUCCGGCUUAACCGGAGGGGUCGUUUGAAACUGGCAGACUAGAGUACAACAGAGGAUAGUGGAAUUCCCGGUGUAGUGGUGAAAUGCGUAGAUAUCGGGAGGAACACCAGUGGCGAAGGCGACUAUCUGGGUUGUAACUGACGCUGAGGCGCGAAGGCUAGGGGAGCGAACAGG